rnacentral:rRNA from 1 species
CUACGGGCGGCACCAGUGGGGAAUAUUGCACAAUGGGCGCAAGCCUGAUGCAGCCAUGCCGCGUGUAUGAAGAAGGCCUUCGGGUUGUAAAGUACUUUCAGCGGGGAGGAAGGGAGUAAAGUUAAUACCUUUGCUCAUUGACGUUACCCGCAGAAGAAGCACCGGCGAACUCCGUGCCAGCAGCCGCGGUAAUACGGAGGGUGCAAGCGUUAAUCGGAAUUACUGGGCGUAAAGCGCACGCAGGCGGUUUGUUAAGUCAGAUGUGAAAUCCCCGGGCUCAACCUGGGAACUGCAUCUGAUACUGGCAAGCGUGAGUCUCGUAGAGGGGGGUAGAAUUCCAGGUGUAGCGGUGAAAUGCGUAGAGAUCUGGAGGAAUACCGGUGGCGAAGGCGGCCCCCUGGACGAAGACUGACGCUCAGGUGCGAAAGCGUGGGGAGCAAACAGGAUUAGAUACCCGCGUAGUC